rnacentral:SRP_RNA from 1 species
GCUGGGCAUGGUGGCACAUGCCUGUAGUCCCAGCUACUUGGGAGGCUGAGGCAGAAGAAUCACUUGAACCCAGGAGGUGGAGGUUGCAGUGAGCUGAGAUUGCGCCACUGCACUCCAGCCUGGGUGACAGAGUGAGACUCUGUCUCAA